rnacentral:rRNA from 1 species
ACAAAAACAUGUCCUGUUGGUGUUUUAUUUCAGGUCUGGCCUGCCCACUGAUUUAUAUUGAAGGGCCGCAGUAUUUUGACUGUGCGAAGGUAGCAUAAUCAUUUGUCUUUUAAUUGUAGGCUUGUAUGAAUGGUUUGAUGAGAUAUUAACUUUCUUUAUUUUAAAUAUUGAAUUUAAUUUUUUAGUUAAAAAGCUAAAAUUUUUUUAUGGGACGAGAAGACCCUAUAGAAUUUUAAUAUAUUUAGUUUUUAUUAUAUUUGGGAAUUUAUUAUUUUAAAAAAUAAUUAUAUUUUUGUUGGGGCGACAGGGAAAUUUUAUUAACUUUCUUUAUUUAUAAUUUAUUAAUUAGUAUUUUAAUGAUCCUAUAUUAUGGAUAUCAAGAUUAA